GAGCGAUGCAACAACAAGGUAAGCAAGUAUUACUAGGUGGAGUAAUAUAUCAGCACUCUUUAUUUAAUAAUGCCUUACAAAGCCUUAAUUAUUGGCCCAACAUUUAUUAAAUAGCAAUGACAAUCACCACUUUUUAGUGUUUAGAAUUGUGAGGUAUUCUCUGAGAUAGCCCAGUUCUCUAAACUUUGUGGUGUUAUUAUUGCUUUGGAAAGAAAUUGCCUCCACAAGUGAUAUUACUUUAUUAACUAAUAUGCCAAAAAGCAAUGCUUGGUGAGGCCUGGUGUUAUACAGGGAGGCAAGCUAUUUAUGCCCACAUUAACAAACAAACUGCAAGUAUGUAAUGUAAAUGACUGCUUUAUCUGAGUUAUAAAUCAAACUAUUUUCCAUUUUAAUUGCGUGUAACCACCCAUAAUGCAUUGCAGGUACCCACCAUUUUCAAGGACAUUUCUGAUAAUGCUUUUAUUAGGAUUAGAUAUAAAAUAAAAAAUAUGUGCAUAUAAAAUCUGCCCUUGAUUAUUUAACAAUUUUAUUUCCUAAUUUUUAAGAAACAGUAAAGUUACCAUUUUAUUUGUGAAUCCUGCCUUACCAGAAUAUCAUAACCAGGAUAUAGUACAUGCCAGAAUACAGGAUCUCUAAAGAAAUGUACAAGAAUGCAAAAAAAAUGUAUUUCUCAAAUUUUCCAAAAUAUGUAGCCUACUUUCUGAUUGGCACUGCUGCUUGCUCUUCCAUAUUUUGCCCUCACUCAUGCCUAGACAUGCAGCAACGGAGCAUCUUUACCCGCACAUUUAAUGGAGCGUGUCUUCUCAUGUGAGCAAUUCUCUCUUCUCUAGCCCUCUGUCAUCUGAUGCCCCUAUAUCAUGUGAUGCACUUAUUUUUCUUCUGUUCUCUGAUGCCCCUAUUUUUCCUAUAAUCAUUCACAAAAGGCUUUUAAAAAUCAAAGAAGCAGUUAGUACUCUGUAAUACCUUAAGAGAGACUUAAUAAGCAGCCUUUUAACUAGUACUUAACUUUUCAGAUAAAAAAGCAGGAUAGUUUGAAAUCAUUUUUAGCAUUUGUUUUCCUUCUUCUAGGGUCUUUCCAUGACAAGGUCACACACCGUGGCGAUGCACCAAUGCAGUUGAGAAACUCGCAUCAGGUGAAUCACCCCGCAGCUCCUAUUGACUUUAACACUUCUAGCGCAGAGAGACAAUUGCGCUUCUCAGAGCUACAGUACCAUCAUGGAACCGCCUCUGGUACCAAAAAGAUUACAAAUAAUACCAGGGAAUUCAAAUUUUGCCAUGAUUAAGCGGAUGAAUAUGCCUGAAAUGAUGCCUGGUUAGAGGUAUGGUAAAACAAGCAGAAAUCGGAACUAGCAGCAUGACAGCAUUGUAAGCAAUACACAGAGGAGAGGCGACAUGCUGUCUGCGACUGAAUUAACAGGCUGUCAUCUAAUAUUUCAGGCCAGCUUCUUGUGACUUGGUUGUAACUUCUAACAUUGCAUCCUCAUAUCAGAAGCGUUAGACUUUAUCCUUUUAUAUGGAGAGAGAAUUUGCAUUAGGAAAGGAAAUAAAUAAAUAAUACAUUUUGUAAAUAAUGGAGCCCACAUAUAAAUGAUUCUGCUUUACACAUAAAAGAGCAGGAGCAUGACCCUUAGUGCUCUUUCAGGAAAGCACUUGCACCCCUGCCCUGCUGUCUUGCUGUUCCUACCUUGCAUCUCAGAAUGUAUGACAGAGUUAAAAUUGCAAAAACAAACUAAAUUUAAAGGAAAAGUAAACCCUCAGAAUAUUUUCUUUUUAGAAAGUCUAUGCACAGAUUUUUUUGUGUGUGUUCUAAAGUGAUAUAGUGAUUUUUACAAGGCGCUAUCUCCAAAAAUAUUAAUUAAUAAUUAUAAUUAAGUCAAACAAAGUGCUUGUAGUGCUUGCUUCAAAAGGUAAAAUUAUUUAAAAUAAGUUGUAAUGGUGUUUUCUUCUAUCAGCAAAACCCGGCAACUUACAAGAUUCCUGAUUUCAAAACAGCAUAUCAAUUUCAACUCCAAGGUAUUUCUUUUUUCUGUAAAAACAUUAAAAAGCAGGAACAGAGCCCAUAGUGUAAUUUGCCUUUAUUUUUAAAAGGUUUUAAAACUUAUCGCACUUACAUAAGUCACACUUCUGAGUGCAUAUCAAACAAUCCAAUGUUAUAGUGCAGAUCAUGGAGGUGAACCUUUGCAAUACAAAGAGAUGAGUUCUGCCGGCAUCUCCCUCUGUGAUCCACCUGUACAUCCACUCACUGUAAGGUUGCCACCUUUAGCCCAGGGGGCGGGGCUGUGAUAUGGAGGGGGCAGGCUGUGAUGCAUAGGGUGCGGGGCCCUGGACACAGUGGGGUUGGACUGUGACAUCAGGGACAGGGCUAUGAUGUGGUGAUCGGCGAUUAGCCUAUUGUGUCAAUCUUAGAGGAUCCUGCCCAGUUUUCCUAAUUUGGAAAACUGGGCAGGCAGUUUUGACCCGGGCAGUCCUUCAAAUUACCGGGCGGUCCAGGUCAAAACCGGACAAGUGGCAACCCUAACUUACUGCUAAGGCUGUGCUCUGCACAGUGCUGUCCUGCUGGGAAGGUAAGACACUGCUGCCCCCUUGAAUCUAUAAAAUUAAAGCCAUAGGAAACAUGAAUUCUUUGAAUAAAGGGACAAGUUUACCGCUUUCCAUGGUGGGUCCGAGUGCUCGUGCCCCAGACCUUCAGCAAAUGGGGCACACAAAACGUGAAUACUCAUAAGAGCCUAUGAUUAAGUGACCUUGGAGGACACAAAAUGCAUCAGACUUUUGCCUUUUAUACAUGAUGUAAAAUAAAGAUUUUUUGUACUUCUUAAAAUUUGGGCUCCUGGAUUCUACUGACUUCUGAUUUUAGCGUUCCGGAGUGGUGCCUUCCCGGUAUUCAAGUUUUGCCCCUUGAAUCUAGUUAGCUUUAGAGCACAAUCUUUAGGUCUUUGCUCUCCGAAACAGAGAACGGAGGCCUGUAGCUAUUUGCACAAUUUCCGCUGCAAUGGUCAAAGUGCAUCAAAAUGUGGCCUUUUAUGCAAUUUGUCUACUCCGGGGGGCAUUGUAAUUAAGCCCUGUUGUGUGUUAGCUCAUUCUGAGACGACAAAUGCCCAUGUGUAGUGAUGGGCGAAUUUGCGGUGAAUUCCUGCGUUGUCCAAAAAAAUGGUGAUUCAAGAAUUUUUUACCGUUUCGCAAAUUUCACAGGAAAUUCGCAAUUUUUUUGGCGGAUCGAAACGGGACCAAUUCGCCCAUCACUGCCCAUGUGCUAAAAGCCUUUCAGUUAAACCUUGAACUCUAAAAACUGUAGUUUUAUUUUACAUGGAAUUGGGACUCCAUCAAUAUUUCUUUUACUUGAGCACUGUAGGCCUCACCAUGUAGCUUACCUUUCCUCUGGGUGUUUUGCUUUCAUUUUCCCAAUGAAUGUCUUAGUAUUUAAAUCAGCCUGCACCUCUACCACUUAGGUUACUACUUUUUCCAUUUUGAUUAAUGUUUGUGUGCAGUCCUCCUUUCCAUUUGGUGCAAAUCCAUGUGAAACUUGUUUGAUGACAUUAAAAGACUUUAUGAGGUGGUGCUUGUGUUUAUCAUAAAUUAUUGCACCCCAUGCAAAAACUUGUUAGAUUUCUUGCCAUACUUUCAUUGACAGACCUACAAAUCGGAAUGGUGCAUUGCCAUCAACAACGACUUCUUACAUUCUGCAUGUGUAUUAGCCUUAAAUCAUUCCCUGCAACUAAGCACUGAGGAAAUAUUCAACAAAUUAGAAAUGCUUAGGUUAUGAUGAAGUUAGGUUAGGUCAG